rnacentral:rRNA from 1 species
UGGGGAAUAUUGCACAAUGGGGGGAACCCUGAUGCAGCGACGCCGCGUGAGUGAAGAAGUCAUUCGUGAUGUAAAGCUCUAUCAGCAGGGAAGAAAAUGACGGUACCUGACUAAGAAGCCCCGGCUAACUACGUGCCAGCAGCCGCGGUAAUACGUAGGGGGCAAGCGUUAUCCGGAUUUACUGGGUGUAAAGGGAGCGUAGACGGCAGCGCAAGUCCGAAGUGAAAGCCCGGGGCCCAACCCCGGGACUGCUUUGGAAACUGUGAAGCUGGAGUGCGGGAGGGGCAGGCGGAAUUCCUGGUG